UACGUAGGGUGCGAGCGUUGUCCGGAAUUAUUGGGCGUAAAGGGCUCGUAGGCGGUCCGUCACGUCGGGCGUGAAAACUCGGGGCUCAACCCCGAGCCUGCUUCCGAUACGGGCGGACUAGAGGUAGGUAGGGGAGAACGGAAUUCCUGGUGUAGCGGUGGAAUGCGCAGAUAUCAGGAGGAACACCGGUGGCGAAGGCGGUUCUCUGGGCCUUACCUGACGCUGAGGAGCGAAAGCGUGGGGAGCGAACAGG
rnacentral:rRNA from 1 species